UAACGCGUGGAUAACCUGCCUCAUACAGGGGGAUAACAGUUAGAAAUGACUGCUAAUACCGCAUAAGCGCACAGGACCGCAUGGUCCGGUGUGAAAAACUCCGGUGGUAUGGGAUGGAUCCGCGUCUGAUUAGCUGGUUGGUGAGGUAACGGCCCACCAAGGCGACGAUCAGUAGCCGACCUGAGAGGGUGGCCGGCCACAUUGGGACUGAGACACGGCCCAAACUCCUACGGGAGGCAGCAGUGGGGAAUAUUGCACAAUGGGGGAAACCCUGAUGCAGCAACGCCGCGUGAGUGAAGAAGUAUUUCGGUAUGUAAAGCUCUAUCAGCAGGGAAGAAGAAAGGCGGUACCUGACUAAGAAGCCCCGGCUAACUACGUGCCAGCAGCCGCGGUAAUACGUAGGGGGCAAGCGUUAUCCGGAUUUACUGGGUGUAAAGGGAGCGUAGACGGCUGUGCAAGUCUGAAGUGAAAGCCCGUGGCUCAACCGCGGAACUGCUUUGGAAACUGUAUAGCUUGAGUACUGGAGAGGCAGGCGGAAUUCCUAGUGUAGCGGUGAAAUGCGUAGAUAUUAGGAGGAACACCAGUGGCGAAGGCGGCCUGCUGGGCAGAAACUGACGUUGAGGCUCGAAAGCGUGGGGAGCAAACAGGAUUAGAUACCCUGGUAGUCCACGCGGUAAACGAUGAAUGCUAGGUGU
rnacentral:rRNA from 1 species